rnacentral:rRNA from 1 species
GAUGAACGCUGGCGGCGUGCCUAAUACAUGCAAGUCGAGCGAACGGACGAGAAGCUUGCUUCUCUGAUGUUAGCGGCGGACGGGUGAGUAACACGUGGAUAACCUACCUAUAAGACUGGGAUAACUUCGGGAAACCGGAGCUAAUACCGGAUAAUAUUUUGAACCGCAUGGUUCAAAAGUGAAAGACGGUCUUGCUGUCACUUAUAGAUGGAUCCGCGCUGCAUUAGCUAGUUGGUAAGGUAACGGCUUACCAAGGCAACGAUGCAUAGCCGACCUGAGAGGGUGAUCGGCCACACUGGAACUGAGACACGGUCCAGACUCCUACGGGAGGCAGCAGUAGGGAAUCUUCCGCAAAGGGCGAAAGCCUGACGUAGCAACGCCGCGUGAGUGAUGAAGGUCUUCGGAUCGUAAAACUCUGUUAUUAGGGAAGAACAUAUGUGUAAGUAACUGUGCACAUCUUGACGGUACCUAAUCAGAAAGCCACGGCUAACUACGUG